AGAGUUUGAUCCUGGCUCAGGAUGAACGCUGGCGGCGUGCCUAAUACAUGCAAGUCGAACGAGGUGCUUUUGUAGCAAUACGAGGGUAUCCUAGUGGCGAACGGGUGAGUAACGCGUUGGUGACCUACCCCAAAGUGUGGGAUAACAGUUCGAAAGGAUUGCUAAUACCGCAUGUGGUCUUCGGAUUUAGAAACUGAUGACUAAAGGAGUAAUCCGCUUUGGGAGGGACCUGCGUCCCAUCAGCUAGUUGGUGAGGUAAUGGCUCACCAAGGCUACGACGGGUAGGGGACCUGAGAGGGUGACCCCCCACAAUGGAACUGAAACACGGUCCAUACACCUACGGGUGGCAGCAGUAGGGAAUAUUGCACAAUGGGCGAAAGCCUGAUGCAGCAACGCCGCGUGUGCGAUGAAGGCCUUCGGGUCGUAAAGCACUUUUCUGAGGGAUGAGCAAGGACAGUACCUCAGGAAUAAGUCUCGGCUAACUACGUGCCAGCAGCCGCGGUAACACGUAGGAGCCAAGCGUUAUCCGAAUUCACUGGGCGUAAAGCGCGUGUAGGCGGCCUGAUAAGUUGGAUGUGAAAGCUCCUGGCUCAACUGGGAGAGGACGUACAAUACUGUCGGGCUAGAGUAUGGCAGAGGGAGGUGGAAUUCCCGGUGUAGUGGUGAAAUGCGUAGAUAUCGGGAGGAACACCAGUGGCGAAAGCGGCCUUCUGGGCCAAAACUGACGCUCAGACGCGAAAGCUAGGGGAGCAAACGGGAUUAGAAACCCCGGUAGUCCUAGCCGUAAACGAUGUAGACUUGGUGUAGGUGGUGUAAAAGCCAUCGGUGCCGAAGCCAACGCGAUAAGUCUACCGCCUGGGGACUACGGCCGCAAGGUUAAAACUCAAAGGAAUUGACGG
rnacentral:rRNA from 1 species